rnacentral:rRNA from 1 species
GAUGAACGCUAGCGGCAGGCCUAACACAUGCAAGUCGAGGGGUAGAGUUCUUCGGGACUUGAGACCGGCGCACGGGUGCGUAACGCGUAUGCAAUCUACCUUAUACAGGGGAAUAGCCCAGAGAAAUUUGGAUUAAUGCCCCAUAGUGUUAUCGAAUCGCAUGGUUUGAUAACUAAAGUUCCAACGGUAUAAGAUGAGCAUGCGUCCCAUUAGUUAGUUGGUGAGGUAAUGGCUCACCAAGGCUACGAUGUAUAGGGGGUCUGAGAGGAUGAUCCCCCACACUGGUACUGAGACACGGACCAGACUCCUACGGGAGGCAGCAGUAGGGAAUAUUGGUCAAUGGACGCAAGUCUGAACCAGCCAUGCCGCGUGAAGGAUGAAGGCCCUCUGGGUCGUAAACUUCUUUAUUAGGGAAGAAACAUGGGAUGCGUCCCAAACUGACGGUACUUAAUGAAUAAGGAUCGGNUAACUUCGUG